UUUGACGUUAGCGACAGAAGAAGCACCGGCUAACUCCGUGCCAGCAGCCGCGGUAAUACGGAGGGUGCGAGCGUUAAUCGGAAUUACUGGGCGUAAAGCGCAUGCAGGUGGUUUGUUAAGUCAGAUGUGAAAGCCCGGGGCUCAACCUCGGAAUUGCAUUUGAAACUGGCAGACUAGAGUACUGUAGAGGGGGGUAGAAUUUCAGGUGUAGCGGUGAAAUGCGUAGAGAUCUGAAGGAAUACCGGUGGCGAAGGCGGCCCCCUGGACAGAUACUGACACUCAGAUGCGAAAGCGUGGGGAGCAAACAGGAUUAGAUACCCUGGUAGUCCACGCCGUAAACGAUGUCUACUUGGAGGUUGUGGCCUUGAGCCGUGGCUUUCGGAGCUAACGCGUUAAGUAGACCGCCUGGGGAGUACGGUCGCAAGAUUAAAACUCAAAUGAAUUG
rnacentral:rRNA from 1 species